AUUGAACGCUGGCGGCAGGCCUAACACAUGCAAGUCGAGCGGAUGAAGGGAGCUUGCUCCUGGAUUCAGCGGCGGACGGGUGAGUAAUGCCUAGGAAUCUGCCUGGUAGUGGGGGAUAACGUCCGGAAACGGGCGCUAAUACCGCAUACGUCCUGAGGGAGAAAGUGGGGGAUCUUCGGACCUCACGCUAUCAGAUGAGCCUAGGUCGGAUUAGCUAGUUGGUGGGGUAAAGGCCUACCAAGGCGACGAUCCGUAACUGGUCUGAGAGGAUGAUCCGUCACACUGGAACUGAGACACGGUCCAGACUCCUACGGGAGGCAGCAGUGGGGAAUAUUGGACAAUGGGCGAAAGCCUGAUCCAGCCAUGCCGCGUGUGUGAAGAAGGUCUUCGGAUUGUAAAGCACUUUAAGUUGGGAGGAAGGGCAGUAAGUUAAUACCUUGCUGUUUUGACGUUACCAACAGAAUAAGCACCGGCUAACUUCGU
rnacentral:rRNA from 1 species